rnacentral:rRNA from 1 species
GACGAACGCUGGCGGCGUGCCUAAUACAUGCAAGUAGAACGCACAGUUUAUACCGUAGCUUGCUACACCAUAGACUGUGAGUUGCGAACGGGUGAGUAACGCGUAGGUAACCUGCCUGGUAGCGGGGGAUAACUAUUGGAAACGAUAGCUAAUACCGCAUAAUAUUAAUUAUUGCAUGAUAAUUGAUUGAAAGAUGCAACUGCAUCACUACCAGAUGGACCUGCGUUGUAUUAGCUAGUAGGUGAGGUAACGGCUCACCUAGGCGACGAUACAUAGCCGACCUGAGAGGGUGAUCGGCCACACUGGGACUGAGACACGGCCCAGACUCCUACGGGAGGCAGCAGUAGGGAAUCUUCGGCAAUGGACGAAAGUCUGACCGAGCAACGCUGCGUGAGUGAAGAAGGUUUUCGGAUCGUAAAGCUCUGUUGUAAGAGAAGAACGGGUGUGAGAGUGGAAAGUUCACACUGUGACGGUAUCUUACCAGAAAGGGACGGCUAACUACGUG